AAAAGAACCCCGGGAGGGGAGUGAAAUAGAUCCUGAAACCGCAUACAUACAAACAGUAGGAGCCUCGUUAAGGGGUGACUGCGUACCUUUUGCAUAAUGGGUCAGCGACUUACGUUUAAUGGCGAGCUUAACCGUAUAGGGGAGGCGCAGCGAAAGCGAGUUCGAACAGAGCGUUCAGUCGUUAGGCGUAGACCCGAAACCAGAUGAUCUAUCCAUGGCCAGGUUGAAGGUGUGGUAACACACACUGGAGGACCGAACCGACUAGUGUUGCAAAAUUAGCGGAUGAGCUGUGGAUAGGGGUGAAAGGCUAAACAAAUCUGGAGAUAGCUGGUUCUCCCCGAAAACUAUUGAGGUAGUGCCUCGUGUAUGACUCCAGGGGGUAGAGCACUGUUAUGGCUAGGGGGACAUGGCGUCUUACCAAACCAUGGCAAACUCCGAAUACUUGGAAGUUUGAGCACGGGAGACAGAGCACCGGGUGCUAACGUCCGGACUCAAGAGGGAAACAACCCAGACCGCCGGCUAAGGUCCCUAAUAUUGACUAAGUGGAAAACGAAGUGGAAAGGCUAAGACAGUCAGGAAGUUGGCUUAGAAGCAGCCAUCCUUCAAAGAAAGCGUAAUAGCUCACUGAUCGAGUCUUUCUGCGCGGAAGAUGUAACGGGGCUAAGUCAAUAACCGAAGCCGCGGAUUCACACUUAUGUGUGAGUGGUAGGGGAGCGUUCUGUAAGCCUGCGAAGGUGACUCGUAAGGGUUGCUGGAGGUAUCAGAAGUGCGAAUGCUGACAUGAGUAACGUUAAAGCGGGUGAAAAGCCCGCUCGCCGUAAGCCCAAGGUUUCCUGCUCUACGUUCAUCGGAGCAGGGUGAGUCGGCCCCUAAGGUGAGGCUGAGAAGCGUAACUGAUGGGAACAAGGUUAAUAUUCCUUGACCACCGCUGAAUGCGAAGGGGGGACGGAGUAUUGAAGAUCAUCCGGGUGUUGGAUAUCCCGGUUUGCGAGCGUAGGAGGCUGACAGGCAAAUCCGUCAGCGAAUCUCCGAGGCAAAGCAUCGAGCUCUCUUUUGAGCGAAGUGAUUGGAUGUGCUUCCAGGAAAAGCCUCUAAGCUCCAGUUCAGCGGGACCGUACCGCAAACCGACACUGGUGGGCGAGCUGAAUAUGCUCAGGCGCUUGAGAGAACUCAGGAGAAGGAACUCGGCAAAUUGACACCGUAACUUCGGGAUAAGGUGUGCCUUUGUAGCGUGGAGGGAGAAACACCCCGAGCGCGAAGAGGUCUCAGAUAAUCGGUGGCUGCGACUGUUUAUUAAAAACACAGCACUCUGCAAAGACGAAAGUCGACGUAUAGGGUGUGAUGCCUGCCCGGUGCUGGAAGAUUAAUUGAUGGGGUGCAAGCUCCUGAUCGAAGUCCCAGUAAACGGCGGCCGUAACUAUAACGGUCCUAAGGUAGCGAAAUUCCUUGUCGGGCAAGUUCCGACCUGCACGAAUGGCAUAACGAUGGCCACACUGUCUCCUCCUGAGACUCAGUGAAGUUGAAGUGUUUGUGAUGAUGCAAUCUCCCCGCGGCUAGACGGAAAGACCCCAUGAACCUUUACUGUAGCUUUGCAUUGGACUUUGAACCGAUCUGUGUAGGAUAGGCGGGAGCCUGUGAAACCACAACGCCAGUUGUGGCGGAGGCGUCCUUGAAAUACCGCCCUGAUUUGUUUGAGGUUCUAACCUGGGACAGUCAUCCUGUCCGGGGACCGUGCAUGGUAGGCAGUUUGACUGGGGCGGUCUCCUCCUAAAGGGUAACGGAGGAGUGCGAAGGUACGCUAGGUACGGUCGGAAAUCGUGCUGAUAGUGCAAUGGCAAAAGCGUGCUUGACUGCGAGACCCACAAGUCGAGCAGAUACGAAAGUAGGUCAUAGUGAUCCGGUGGCUCUGUAUGGAAGGGCCAUCGCUCAACGGAUAAAAGGUACUCUGGGGAUAACAGGCUGAUACCGCCCAAGAGUUCAUAUCGACGGCGGUGUUUGGCACCUCGAUGUCGGCUCAUC
rnacentral:rRNA from 1 species